rnacentral:rRNA from 1 species
AUACGUAGGUGGCGAGCGUUGUCCGGAUUUACGGGGCGUAAAGGGCGUGUAGGCGGUCUUGCAAGUCAGAAGUGAAAUUCCUGAGCUCAACUCGGGCGCUGCUUCUGAAACUGCAGGACUUGAGUGCUGGAGGGGAUAGCGGAAUUCCUAGUGGAGCGGUAAAAUGCGCAGAUAUUAGGAAGAACGCCGGUGGCGAAGGCGGCUAACUGGACAGUAACUGACGCAGAGGCGCGAAAGCGUGGGGAGCAAACAGGAAUAGAUGCCCUAGUAGUCCACGCUGUAAACGAUGAUUACUAGGUGUGGGGGGACUGACCCCUUCCGUGCCGCAGUUAACACAAUAAGUAAUCCGCCUGGGGAGUACGGCCGCAAGAUUGAAACUUAUAGUAAUUGACGGGG